rnacentral:rRNA from 1 species
UACAGAGGGGGCAAGCGUUGUUCGGAAUUACUGGGCGUAAAGGGCGCGUAGGCGGCCUGUUAAGUCGAACGUGAAAUCCCCGGGCUCAACCCGGGAACUGCGUCCGAUACUGGCAGGCUUGAAUUCGGGAGAGGGAUGUGGAAUUCCAGGUGUAGCGGUGAAAUGCGUAGACAUCUGGAGGAACACCGGUGGCGAAGGCGGCAUCCCGGACCGAUAUUGACGCUGAUGCGCGAAAGCCAGGGGAGCAAACGGG